rnacentral:lncRNA from 1 species
AAAUGUAAAAGGUGACUCUAUCAACUCACUUGCAAAGGGACAAUGGGUGAGAAAGGUGGGAAACCGCCUCCGCCUCCCUCAUAUACAUGCAACACCAAUCAAUUUCACUAGAAUUUUCCCCCUCCUAAUGAGAUUAUCAAGAUCAUAAUCUUCCGAUGAGCUUUCAUCCACACAAAAAAAGGCAACUUUAGUUGGGGUGCCUGGUCUCCAAAUUCUCUUUUGUGGAAACUCCACCCCCUACUCUGCGGAAACUUCCUUUCCGAAUGCCUGAUAAAAUAAGUCUUUCUAAACCUCCCAUCCUUCCUCCCCAUCCAACUCAUCUUCCCCCCUCCACACCUCGAAUAACAUACAAUAAACUAGCAAGCCAACUAUUGAUCCAGAGCCUAAUCUUGAAGAGCUCUCCUUAGCCCUAUAUCCUAGAAUGCCCCCAUCACCGUCCACAACUAAUCUACCACUGAAUGCCUACUGACCUACAACUAUCCGAAAAUUGUCUACAUAGGCGCUAUCAAGAGCUUCAUCACCGCACCAACUACGUCUCAAGAACUCAUCUUUAAUCCCUUCCAACUUGAAAAAGCCAUGUUCUUCAUGAACUCGGUAACACCACAUGAAUACCAUUCCACAACCCUCUCCCACGAGGAUCAAACACCUCCGCAAACACUAAAUCCCCCAUCAAACACUAUACUUUGCCGCCAACACUCUACUUUCAAAAUUGGUGUCCCUCGCGCAUGCAAACCUCCACAACCACUUACCUAGCAAUGCUCGUUGAAUAAGUUCCACUUCUCACACUCAAACCCCCAUCUCUAAGAGAACUACACGCCACAUCACAAUCAACAAGAUGAUACCUUGAACUCUUCUCCUAUGCCCCCCCUCCCACAAAGCAGUCUGCUGUCUAACUCUCCAACACAAUAGCACAAACUUUGUUGGACAAACUGGAAAGUAUAAAUAUAAAUACUAAACUGCAAGAGCCCACUAUAAACACUAUCGCAAGAAACCGUGGACAUAGAGCAUAGCUGUCCUUAUCUCCUCUUACCAUAUAAAAUCCAAACCCAGCCCCCACGACCAACUUAACACGCAAAUUUAAUGAAUCCCACAAGCCCACACUUCACAACAUUCUCUUUUGAACACGUGGGAGAGAAUUCAUACACACACAUCCAAAGGAAUACCCCUCAAUGGGUUGUUUCCAUAAAGGCACCCACUAAAAACAACCCCACUGGACUGGCCUUAAUUUGGAGAUAUGGAGGAUCUUAAUCUAUUACUCACCUAAAAGCUUAGCAGAUGUAUAACUAACAGGUAAAUUAAAAAUUUACACAAGUAACACACCGAUUCGACAGUCCAGACUCAAAACUUAAAAAAACCCAAAGCAAAACAACAUUGGCAGCAAUCACUUGAUUAAAAGUCUAACCACGUAAAUCAAUUGACAAAAAUUCUCCAGAUUCGACAGUUAGAUUAAAGAUGCCAAUCAAUAAUUCCACCAAGAAAAUCACUUCACAUAAACUUAAGAACUCAAAGCAAAAAAACAACAUCGGUUGCAAUCAAUAGACCAACUAAGAAUCUCACCGUCAAAUCACCGCACUCAAACCUCCGGGCGUAAUCCUCGGCGACCAUCGACGCGACGGCCGCUUUCCUCUGCAGGGCCACGCGCUUGGUCAUCGCCGAAAGCGACAACUCAUCUGGAUCCCCGCAGCCUCCCCCGCCCUCCCGGGCCACCGGCGGCGGAGGCGGAGGUACGCCUUGGAACGGCGACCUGGACGUGCCCUCGUGAUGGGGAUGAAAGGGUAAAUAAGGAUGGAUGGGAGGGUGAAGAGAUAGGGAAGGAGGAAAGAAGGGCCAGGAGGGGGCAGGAAAAAGAGGAACUGAGGGAAGUGCAAAAGGGAGAAGUGACAGGAAAGUGGAAAUGUAGGGAACAAUGAUGCGGGAGGAGAUGAUCUAGCGAGACAAAAGUGCAUUAGAGAGAGCGGGAAGAGCAAAGUAAGGCGAAGUAAAAUAGAGGAGAAGGCGAAUGGGAGCGGAAGAGGUAUAAAAGUGCCCUCGUCGCGAACCCUAAUCAGCCACGGGUCCUUGAAGAAAUCCUCAAUCCUAGCCAACCUUGUCCAAGACUCAUUCUUCGCUUCUCGCUCUGCAAUCCUUCGAAAACCCUAGCGAGCAGAAGCAGAUAUUCGCCGGCUGGCUGCAAACACAGAGAGAGAUAGAGAUUUAGAGCGAAGAGCGAGAACGAGAGCGAGAGCGAGAGAUUUUUUUUAGAGAGAGAGAGGGGUGUUUGGGGUGAAUUCGAGAGAGGUAUACCAUGUAAUUGGGCAGCGACGUGAAAAGCCCUAACGAGAUUUGAAUUUGAUUAAGAAGUUAAGCGAGCGAGGGAUUGUUCCUAAAAUAAUACAACGAAUUGAGAAAACAAAAAAAAAUAAAAAAUAAAUAUAAAUUUUGUAACCUUUUGCCUAGACAGAGAGAGACAGUUGGCAUUAUAUUUGGGGCUUUUGGCUUUGGCUACAUAACUAAUAAAAUACAAUGACAUAACCUAGAUUUUAGAAAUUAUGGAAAAGCCUUAUAAAAUUUUUAAAAUAAUACUGACUUUCAUUAUUCUUUAAUUGUGGUUAGGGAUGGCAAGAUAGUGUUUGGAUCCGGAGAACUUCAUCUUCUAUACUCAAUACCUGAAACCUACCUCUGUCCUUAUACUAGUAUUCAAUACUCAAUAGGUACAAUUCAAAUCUCUCAAACCUAAGCUCAAUUGGGUGUCGAGUAACUCAAAUAUAUCCAAUAACCAAUUUUUUUAAAAAAAAAAAAGUAAUCAAAUUCGAAUCUUAAAAUAAAAAAAAGUGAAUUAUAAAUUUGAUUGUAAAAAGUAGGGCGUUGUCAAAAAAAAAAUCUAAAAACGAUGAUUUGUGAUUGACAGACCGAAACCUGACCGAACCGUGUGCCAUUUUUGAUUGAUUAUAGUUUUAAGGAUUAUUUCGUUUUUAAAAAUUAAGAACUGGUGUUAAAUUGGUUCGAUUACUGAUUUUUUUUUUCAAAUCGUGGUUCGAAAGAACUGGAACUGAAUUAUAAUAUAGAACUAUAUAUAUAUGUUCUAUAUUAUAAAUCAGGACUUGAUUUGAAUUCCAAAAUAUAUCUCUCGCCUAUCUAUGUAUCAUAUUCAUUUGAGUUGAUCCAACGAAUCAGAUGAUUCACCUCAAAGUAGUUUGUCCUACCAAAAAAACAUUACUUUCUUAUCCAACGGCUAAGAUCGAUUUGAUUAUAAACAAACGGUUCAGAUUUCCUUCCUUUUACACGGUGUGAUGGCUGUGAUGGUUGUGAUUGACUGCUCUGAGGAUUACGGCGAUGUCUUCACCAUCCCCGAAUCCAUCACAGCCAUCUCUCCUCCCAAAUCAACCCAUCUCUCUCUCUCACGCAAUCUCAGAAGUUCUCAGUUCUCUCUCUCUUUGCUGUUUGGGAGCCCAAUCUCAGUUCUAAACAACCUCAAAAUCCCCAGCCCAAACUAUGGUUCCUCCGCACCAAGCCGAUCUUCGAGGACGCCCAGACUACUCAACCACAUGAGUUUCUUCAACUAUUAUUUAGUAUAUGUUUCUUAACUUUAACUCCCUAUUAGGGAGGGGGAGUCAGUUAGGGGCAUGGGAGAUGUGGGGGGUAACAGGGGAAGGGGAAAUGGUGGAAAGGCAAACAGGCGAACCACCACCACUACCCAAAACACCACCAAUACCUAAAACCCAAACCCAACCCAAAUCCAAACCGGAACCCCCAAAACCAAAUAACACCGACACCCAAAAUCCAAAAAAAUCCAAAUCGGAACCCAAAACCCAAAUCAACAACCCGAACCCAAAACACCACCCCCAGACCGCUGCCAUGGCCAACCACAACCAAAACACCCAACAAACAUUGCACACACGCAGAGAGAGAGAAGAGAGAUCUGAGAGAUCACCGUAUGACGGACCCCGCUCGAAUCGCACCCGUAUUCUGUCUAGCUGGUGAUGAUGUGUGUCGUUGAUGGGUUGAUUUGGGUUUAGGGGGUUCCGGUGAAUGGCCAAUGGGUUGGAGGAGGGGUAUUUGGAGUUGAGUCUGAUGGGUUUGUGCAGCAGGAUGGUUUUGAUUUUGGCUGGACACUUGUAUUGUUGUGUGCGGAUGAUGAGGUUGUAUUUUGUGAUUCACCAAAUUGAGAGUGAAAGCAAUUUUAACCAAUUUGAUAUUUCAAUAAAUACUAUUUAUUUUGUUGUACAACUCUGUUAAUUUUAAUAACGACUGGUGUUGUUUUGAUAACAUGUUCGUUUGGUUGUGCAAUUUCCUUUUUUGGUUAUAUUCAAAAUAUGUGUGUAUGCAAUCUGUUUUUUAUGUUUCGUAUUGUACGAGCAUAUUUCGUUUUAUUAUUGCAAUUACAGAAACAGGUAAAUUAAUGCCUUUUAAAGGAGUUAAAAGUUGAUUUUUUAAUUAAAUACAAAAAAUUCAAAACUUCGUUAUUAUGGGUGUUUUUUUUUCUUAAUUACGAUCCUAUUUAGACUAGUAAAUAAAAUAAUUUUAAAGUUUAUGCUAUUUAGCAAAAAGGUAAUUGAAUGAUCCGUAUUGUUUGGAUGCAAAAACAAUCUACUUUUUAGAAUAAUUAUAAAGAAGAGAAAGCUCUACCUUAUAUAGCUAGGCCCAAUAGCUCAACUUUUUGUUGAAUGAGGUAGCAACGAGAAUAAAAUCAUUAGCUAAAAAGCCAAAUUUGUGGCUUAUAGUAGAAUAAAAAAUUUGUGAGGUAAAUCAUAUGUAGUUAAUGAACAAUGAGUGACGGUAUUACCAUUUGUUGGACAAGUCAGUUCUUUCCAACUUAUAACAUAGAAGUAAAUUAAUGGAAGCUGUAUACACAUGAAUAAAAAAAUGGAAUAAAUCUUCACGUCGUUUGCCCUAAAUUGUCGUACAUAUCUUAAAUGGCGGCAUAAAAAUACAUACAUAUUAAUAUGGAGGAAUUCCCAAUUGAGACGUGUUGAAAAUUUUGUUGAGAAGGACAAAAUGCAAAAUUGAAGACUUUUUAUUUGUAAAUUGUUUAAUUAGUGUAAUAUGUUCUUUUUUUGGUAACUACAAAAUUAGUUUUAGAAUUUUUUUUUUACAUCGUGCACGUGGGUACGGCAAUUACAGUAUAUAUAUAUAAGAUAUAGGUAAGAUAUAUACGCGUGACGCAUAUUAUGUAGAACCUAACACCUAAUUCUGUAAUUCACACAUGUGGUGAUUACGUGGCUUUCCCAAACAAAAAUAUUUUCACUUCCCAUGGAUCUUAGGAUUACUCACUCCCUUCACAGCAAAACCCUUUCACGUUCUCUAUCCAAGAUUGGAUCAGUUGAUUUUUUUUGUUAUCCUUUAAAUUCUUUUCAGUUCUUCGCUUCACCUUUGUGUUGUUAUCCAUUAAUGCUCUUCUAAAAUUUAUGAGUUGUUAAUUACUAUAUUAGAGGUUGGUUGAUGUAAUAAAUUUGACGCGUCAUAUUAUGAACUAUUUUGUAUUAAUUUUCGUUCAUGACUUGAAAGUAUUAAUUAAAAAGUUAUGGGUUAUUUAAUAAAUAACCUUGUUGCAAUAUCAUUUUUAUAAACAUAUUUACAUGUUAAUUGAAUGAAACCGGAAUCGAACCAAAAUCGAAUCGAUAAAUUUUGGUUCGAUUCUAUACUUGUAAUGGUUAGAUUCCAGUUCUCAUUUUUUUCAGAGACCGUUAAAAAGAGAUUGGUAUGGAUACUUAUAGAACCGAACAAUAGAACUAUGGACACCCCUUAGUAAAAAGGAUGAGUGUUUCUAUUAUGAUAAUUUGUAUGUCUCAAAUUUACGGGCCUUCUGUGAAACCUACUUCUUGGGUAAGUUAUGAUUUAAGGUUGUCCUAAAAAUGGCGUAGAACUAGUAUCUAAGUAGAAGAAAGAAGAGGAAAAGAAAAGAAGAGAGUGAGAGAGCACUGAGAGGUAAAGAGCUUGUAAUCUAUAUUGCAUAUAUUAGAUUUUCUUCUUCCUCUUGCCUUGGAUGUAGGCAUAUCGCCGAACCAUGUAAAUCUUCGAGUUCUAUCUCUGGUGUCAUAGGAAUUGAUUCAUUUACCAUUUUCGUAGUAGAUCGAUUUAUUUUUGUAGUGGUAUCAGAGAUUCUGGUUAGUGUUUCGAUCUCUUUGAUACAGUAAAGAUGUUGAAUACUAGAUACGAGGUGAAUAAUUUACCGGCAAGAAUAACAUCUCUAACAAGGUGUUUCUAAGGCUUUGCUCAGAAAGGAGAAAAAGCCCAAGAAGAUCAAGGAAGAAGAUUGGGAAGUCCUCAAUGCGAAGGCUGCCAGUGUAAUUCAUCUAAACCUAUGCGAUGAAGUUAUUCACAACAUAUUAGAUGAGGAUUCAGCACAGGCUACCUAGAAGAAGUUAGAAGUCUAUAAAGAAGAAUAUGGCAAAACAAACUAUGUGUAGAGAAAUAAUUAUAUGUUUUGUAAAUGAAGGAAAACACAAAUCUGUUAGAACAUCUUAAUGUUUUCAACAUGCCGAUUACACAACUGUUAGAUUUCGACAUAAAGUUUGAUGAUGAGGACAAAGCAAUACUCAUGUUCGUAUUGUUGCCUAUAUCCUAUGGUCAUCUUAUGACAACAUUGAUGCAUGGGAAGGAGACUUUGAAAUUGGAAAAGGUGAUCAGUGCUCUCCUCUCACAUAAAAAGAUGAAGAGGGAUUAUGAAAGCAAUGGAGAACGUCUCAUUGUGGCUAAGUCACAACUAGGACGAGGUAGGAGUAGUAAGUGGAGAUAAAUCAAUGAGAAAGAUGUUCCAAUAGAGGAAGAUAUAGGUCAAAGUCACGUGCAAAAAAUGGUCGUUGAGUAGGGGUGCCACAUGGGUCGGUGUGGUAGGGAUGUGACAAAACCGGAACCGACCGACCAUCCACGGGUUCCUAUUUUGGACCCGGAACCGAACCGAGAACCGAUGAGAACCGAACAACCGAACUGUCGGGUCGGUUUCGGUUCCUCGGGUCUCGGAUUUUUUUUUUGGGUCGGGGUCGGGUCGGGCCUUCGGUUAUUCCUAAAAAUUAAUAUAGACCUAGGUAAUAAUCAAGUGUGUGCUAGUUGCAUUGUAUAGCUAUAAGGUCGGUUUAGACUCGGGUUCUCGGGUGGGUCUCGGUUAGAUUUAAUUCUCGGGUCUCGGUUCGGUUCUGGGUUGUGUCGGGUCUCGGUUUUAAAAACUCAGGACCCGAGAACCGACCGAACAGUAUGGGUCUUCAUUUUUUAGACUUCCAUGAACCGACCCAAAGCAGGUUGGAACCGGAUCACAAUGAGUCGUGUCGGCUCGGUUCUUCGGGUCGGCGGGUAUUUGUGCCCCUGUAGUGUGAGUUUGCUUUUACUAGCACAAUUUGGACAAUACAAGAAUCAAUGUCAAGAAUUUGAAAAGCUUUUGAAGGAAGAAUAAUGGAAAGAAGCCUGUCAAAUCGGCUCAGUAUAUAGAGGGAAAUCAAAUAAUGAGUAGAUACUCUUACCUUCCGCUCUCUUCAAGUAGUAUUUUUUUUUCUGAAUCAUGAUGUUUGAAUUCAGGUUGGCCAUAUCACAUGUGCCUGAAUACAGAUUUGUUGGACACUAUAGACCUUGCACAUGAUGGGUGCAUGAAGGCCAUUGGAAAGGUGUACCUUUAAAAUCGUCUAGAUGUUGUGAUUGCGUGUUUGAUGAGGGUUUUGGGUUUGGUCACCACAUGUUCUAGAAACUUGUAAGAAUUUGAUUUAUUUGUAUAAAAAAAAGGGAGGCUUUAGAUUCUUUGGGAUUAGGUACAUGAGAAAACAGGAGUCAUGAAGAUCAGGUAAGGUGUUUUGGUGAUCAUAAAGGGCAGAAAGUUAGAAAUCUCUAUAGAUUAGUUGGGAACACCGUUGUAUGUGAAGUUACACUCUCCACACUUACAGAUUAUAGCAUAAAUGAUUGUAACUUUGGAAUAUGUUGCUUGGUCAUAUUGGUGAGCAUGGUAUGUUAUAGCUUUAAUAAAAAAAUAUGUUGAAGGGUGUUAGGAUGUGCAACCUGGAUUUUCUACAAGUAAUGUGAGUAUGGAAAGCAACAUAGGGUCGGUUUCAAGACAGGGUGUUCUUGAUAUGUCCAUUCACAUGUUUGGGCAAGUGAUAGUGUCUUCUCACAGUGGUGCUCACUACUUUGGCAACUUCACUAGCAAUUAUUCUAGAAAGGUAUGGCUUUAUUUUAUGAAGUAUACGUAUGAUGUUUUCAGUAUUUUCAAGAGGUGAAAAUGCAGGUUGGAAAUCAGACAGGCAAAGAAAUAAAAUAUCUUAGAAAUUACUGGCCAAGAGUGCAGGGAGAAUGGUUUUAUGGCUUUCUGUGAAUCAUAAAGCAUUGCUCGUCACUUUACAGUUAGGGGAACACGCAAAACGGGGGCACAAAAAGAAUGAAUAGAAUUUUGACCGAAAGAUCUAGAUGUAUGAGAUUGAAUGCAGGGGUGCCUAAAGUGUUUUGGGCACGAGCACUCAACACAGUGUGCUACAUCAUUGAUAGGUCUCCAUUAUUAGACAUUUAUUUUAAAAUCUCGUAGGAAGUUUGGUCGGGUAAACCAGUUAAUUUUGUCGAAUUGAGAAUAUUUGAUUGUUUUGGCUACUGUGCAUGUGCGAGUAAUGAAAGGUCAAAACUUGAUCCAAAAUCAAUAAAAUGCAAUAUUUCUUGAUUUAUGAAUUGGUGUGCAAGGAUACAAUAGGAUCCAGUGUCAAGAAGAAGUGACCAACAAAGAUUGUUGCUUUGAUGAGCAUUUAUGGUUGAUCAAACGAGGAGGAGACAACAAAUGAUGGCACAAAACAAAUUGCAACUUUAUCCCCUCCAAAAUGAAUGGGCCAACAUAGGUUAAGGUUAUUUCAUAGUUUAUUACUUGCAACUUUAUCCUCCCACCUUUCCAUCAUUCACUUUCACCCAAUUCUACUCUUGUGCUUCAUUUUUUAAAAAAUUUAUUUGAGCACAUUCAAACUUGUAUUUUAUAACUAAUGGCAAUGUAAACCUCUCACAAUACCAUAAUUUACAUAAACUGUGGACAAUACCGACAAAGCCCCAAUUUUUAUAAUUUAAACCUCACUCGAUGAUUGGGCAAAGCAUCCAAUGAUACUGGACCAUUAGAUUCUCUAUAUUUCUCAUUUCGUUUUUUUUUCAUCAAAUUUUUUAAUUCAAACACAAUCUAAGACUCAAAUCCUUUAAUUUUUCUUUAACAAAUUACGCAAUCACUUAUCUAGUUGUCUGUAUGAUUUUAGGAUUCAUUCACUGCAAAUUUUCUGAUCUUUAUAUUAAAUACUGUUUCAGACUUCAGCAAGAUUUUGAACUAACUACAAAGAAAUGUGUAUAUUCAAGCUCAAAGUCCUCGCUCAUGUCAUUCUCGCUCUCAUCGUUGGAAAUCUCUUUCAAAAUUGACAAUGGUUUCUUCUGCGCAGCAGCCCUCCUCCUUGGUUCUUUCUUCCUUGCUGGUACUUGGGGCACCUCGGUUUCCAUGUCUGCACACAAAAUUAAUAAAAUUAAAACUAAGCACACAAGUUUCCGUUUUCUUCAUUCAACCCAAUUUCCCACUUUUUCCCACAUGUUUAUCCCUUUUGAACUACAAUUUCUCCAAUCUAAGUGAUAAUUGAAGAUUCCAAAAUUAUUUAUAUAACUUUUCUCACAUUCUCAAACUAACAAAUCUUGUGAUAUUUUAUGUGGGAGUGUGGAUGAUAGAAUAGAGGAAAGAAAAUCGAAGAUAGACAUUUGCAGUGGCAGACUAGCAGUUGACAGUGAUUGUAGGUUGCCGGACCAGCUUACAAUAUAGAAACAGUGAGAGCGGCUACCGAAGCUAUUCAGGAAAUAGCUCUUUGACUGUCAAAUAAGUGAUUGAAAGUGUACAAAAUAGAGAGAGAGAGCAUAAGCUUUUUGUAAAUGAAAUUGCAUACUUUGAAAGAAUAAGACAUGGCCUUAUAUAGCAUAGUUUGACGCGUGUAUGGAUAUGACAAUUGUCACGUCACUUGAUAGAUUGCAGCUCGGCGAGUGCCGAGAUGCGCUGACUACUUUGUCAAUGAAUGGGUGAUUGAACAAGCCAUGUCCCUAA